rnacentral:rRNA from 1 species
GGACUGAGACACGGCCCAAACUCCUACGGGAGGCAGCAGUAGGGAAUUUUCGGCAAUGGAGGAAACUCUGACCGAGCAACGCCGCGUGAAUGAAGACGUAUUUCGGUAUGUAAAAUUCUUUUAUUAGGGAAGAACGGUCUGUGGAAAAACAGAAUUGACGGUACCUAAUGAAUAAGCCCCGGCUAACUAUGUGCCAGCAGCCGCGGUAAUACAUAGGGGGCAAGCGUUAUCCGGAAUUAUUGGGCGUAAAGGGUGCGUAGGCGGCCAUUUAAGUCCUUGGUAUAAGUGCAGCGCUCAACGCUGUGAUGCUAAGGAAACUGGAUGGCUUGAGUGAGAUAGAGGCAAGUGGAAUUCCAUGUGUAGCGGUAAAAUGCGUAAAUAUAUGGAGGAACACCAGUGGCGAAGGCGGCUUGCUGGGUCUUCACUGACGCUGAGGCACGAAAGCGUGGGGAGCGAACAGGAUUAGAUACCCUGGUAGUCCACGCCGUAAACGAUGAGUACUAAGUGUUGGAGAAAUUCAGCGCUGUAGUUAACGCAAUAAGUACUCCGCCUGAGUAGUACGUACGCAAGUAUGAAACUCAAAGGAAUUGACGGGACCCCGCACAAGCGGUGGAUCAUGUUGUUUAAUUCGAAGAUACGCGAAAAACCUUACCAGGUCUUGACAUCCCUUGCAAUGCUGUAGAGAUACAGUGGAGGUUAUCAAGGAGACAGGUGGUGCAUGGUUGUCGUCAGCUCGUGUCGUGAGAUGUUGGGUUAAGUCCCGCAACGAGCGCAACCCUUAUUGCUAGUUGCCAUCAUUUAGUUGGGGACUCUAGCGAGACUGCCAGUGAUAAACUGGAGGAAGGUGGGGAUGACGUCAAAUCAUCAUGCCCCUUAUGACCUGGGCUACAAACGUGAUACAAUGGCUAUUACAGAGGGCCGCAAAGCUGUGAAGUGAAGCUAAACCCUUAAAAAUAGUCUCAGUUCGGAUUGAAGUCUGCAACUCGACUUCAUGAAGCCGGAAUCGCUAGUAAUCGCAAAUCAGAAUGUUGCGGUGAAUACGUUCUCGGGGUUUGUACACACCGCCCGUCAAACCACGGAAGUUAGCAAUACCCAAAGCCGGUGGCCUAACCGUAAGGAGGGAGCCGUUUAAGGUAGGGUUGAUGACUGGGGUUAAGUCGUAACAAGGUAUCCCUACGGGAACGUGGGGAUG